GCAGGAGGGCGAGAUUGGCGUACAGGAGAGACGCUCUGAACACAAAGUAACCAUUUUGUAAAUUUUUAUUCCCAAAGGAAACUUGGUGGUACAAAAGGAUUUGUGAAGGAAGGCUCACUGCUAGUAGUGUAGUGGAGAAAAAUAGAAGGUUUUUUUGUUAAAAUUUCUGGUCAUGGCUCCAUCUGCAAGCACAUCAAAAGUUGCUAGAUCUAUAGCCUUAAGGAUGAAGGCGGUGCAGAUGAAACGUUGUAGAAAAACCGUCUCUGAACCACCUAUUACUUCUCCAAAUCGUAAACCUACUACCCCCAAAAAGGCUGCAGCAAGACUGAUAGAAGCCAACAAGGCUACCUCUCCUAGGAGAAGUCCGCGAAAACAUAAAGCUACUCAGUCCAGCAAGGAUGUGUCCUCUAGGAGACGUAUGGCACCUCCUAAAGCAGUAAAUUCCAAGGUGGCUGUGGCAGCAAAGAAGUCGUCGUCCGGUCGUAAGUCUGCAAAGAGCAAGUCAUCCGAGGAUUCUGAUGAUGAUGACAACAUCACUGGUGGAUUGAGGUUGCUUAAGCGAGGGAUGGUAA